rnacentral:rRNA from 1 species
UACGUAGGGGGCUAGCGUUGUCCGGAAUCAUUGGGCGUAAAGAGCGUGUAGGCGGCCCGGUAAGUCCGCUGUGAAAGUCGGGGGCUCAACCCUCGAAUGCCGGUGGAUACUGUCGGGCUAGAGUGCGGAAGAGGCGAGUGGAAUUCCUGGUGUAGCGGUGAGAUGCGCAGAUAUCAGGAGGAACACCGAUUGCGAAGGCAGCUCGCUGGGACGUCACUGACGCUGAGACGCGAAAGCGUGGGGAGCAAACAGG